rnacentral:lncRNA from 1 species
UUUAUCUCCCUUGUUACCAGCUUUUCUGGUGAGAAGAAAGUUGGCCCAUACCAAACUUCACUUGUCACUGUUUGGAACCUAAAUUGAAGAAAGAAAAACAUGGUGGCAUAUUCAGUGAACCUAUCCUCUAGCACCUACACCACAACUGACACAUGGAAAGGAUAUUGAACGAAUUGAAUUUUAAUAGUAAACAAGCCUCAUUGCUGCUCCCUGAAGAUGGAUGAAAUGGUUUUAAAGCCCACAAAGGAAAAUCAAUGAACUCGUGAUCUAUACAAUGGCUGAGGGAGUCCAAAGAAGCCAUCAAUAUGUCAAUAUGAUCCAGCUUUCUUUAAUCAGAGCACAGUUCCAUUUCUAAAUCCCGUAAGAAGAAGAAAAACAUACAUUUCAACAUGCUAUUGUAAGAUCUUUGCAAUUUUCCUUUCAAUAUUAGUCAUAAAUUACAAUUU